GGGGUGACACUUGAGCAGGGGUGGGGGGGGUGCCGCAGGGACGGGAGGGGGGCCGGCCCGUGCUGGGGGCGGUGGGCGGGAGAGGGCCGGGGUCCCCUUGGCCCUUCCAGGCCAGUUGCCACCCUCUGGGGGCCGGUGGGGUCAGAGGCACUGGUGGGUGGCGAGGUCAGAAGACGUUGGAAAGCAGGGCUGACCCCAGCCAGGGCCCGAGGGGGAGGGGGCCUCUGCCUCGUCCGGAGCCCCCCGCUCGGCGCACGGCGCAGGGGAAGCACUCUGUGCCCGCGAUGGCCGUCCCCCUGGGCUCGUCACGCCCGCUCACAGGCCCACGCUGGCACACACGUGCACGCACAGGACGCGCUCCGGCGUGCACGCCGCACCCGUUGUCAACAGCGCCCUGCUGAACCAGACUCGCCUCGUCCGGGCGCUCCCGGGGACACGGCACAGCUGCCCGGGUGGCUGCUCCUGGGGGUCCCCGUCUGCGCCGGGUGUGCCCCCCGCCCCCGCGGAGGGGCAUUUGAGCCCACGGGACACUACAGAGAAGGGCUCCUGCGGGGCCUGGGUACACGAAGCCACCGUAAGCCCCUCCUGAGGCCGGUGCGGGCCAAGUGUGGGGAGAGCUCCCCCUGCCCCCAGCCUUGGGGCCCCCGGAUGUGCUGCCCCAGGAGCCGGCGGAAGGAAUGGCACCCCAGGGAGACGAGCACCCUCCCGGAGCAGGUAGGACGGGCCUGCCGUCCCCCGAGGACACACGCUCCGGACGUGAGCCCCACGGGCGCCGUGCAGGGAGCUGGCCCGAGGGCCACGCAAGGCCUUGCCAAACUGAGGACGCAGGAACGGGGUGUGCGGCUGCCCCCAGGGGCUGGACCCUGCGGGCCGGCGGAGAGGACGGAGACGAGGGGCCAGCCCGGGAGCCCAGGUGGGCGCAUGGUGAGCCUGCGGCGGAAGCCUGGGCGGUUGGCGUGCAGGGAGGCCCCCGAGAGAGCGGCUGCUGCAGGACUGCAAACCGACCCGUCGGCAGUGCUAGGCGGGGAGCAGCGCUGGCCCGGGGCUCUGGCCCAGCGUGGGGGAGGCAGCUCGUCAGCACCUCGCUCACACCCCGGGCAUCCGACUGGGGCCUGGGAGUCAGGACAAGCCUGGGGUGAAGCGGACGCUGGGCCCACCACGCUCACAGAGCCUAAACCAAACGCCGGUGCGCUGCGCGGGGCGGCAGAGUUUGAAAGUUGAGUCCCACUAAGUUAGAGCACCUCGGGAACUCCUUGGGUUUCCAAAGACUGUCCUAAUAAAGAACAACGUCAAGACUCAGCAAGCUCAAAAUGAUUAGUCAGUAAAAACCCGUCUACCUGAACAAAAAAAACCCCAACACUCUUCAGAGAUAGCAAAAUCCAGGCUUUCUAUGGCAUGUCAUCCACAAUGUUCAGCAUACAAAUGAGAGCUUACUGGAAAUGCAGAGUAAUAGGAAAAUAGGACCCAUGGUUAAGAAAAAAGCAGUCAAUAGUCUCCAAUGGAGACUAGAAGACAAUGGAAUAGCAUUUUAAAGUGCUAAAAGAAAAGUAUUUGGGGACCCUUACCCUUCCAUUUAAAUUUUAUGAUUGGCUUUUUCAUUUUGCAAAGAAGGUUGUUGGAAUUUUGAUUGAGAUUGCAUUAAAUCUGUAAAUCUCUUUGGGUAGAAUUGACAUCUUCACAAUAUUUAGUCUUUCAAUCAAUGAACACAGAAUGUCCUUUCAUUUACUUAAGUCUUCUUUGAUUUUUUUCUGCAAUGUUGUAUAGUUUUACAUGUACAAGUGUUUUAUAUCCUUGGUUAAAAUUCAUUUCUAGAUAUUUGAUUCUUUUAGCUGCUAUUGAAAAAUAGAAUUUUUUUCUUGAUUUACUUUUUGGAUUAUACAUUGCUGGUACAUAGAAACACUACUGAUUUUUGUGUGUUGGUCUUGUACCCUGGUCCUUUGGUAGACUUGUUCAUUAGCUCUUGUAGCUUCAUUGUAAAUUCUUAAAAAUAUUUUCUUACAUAGGAUUAUGUCAUCUGCAAAUAGGAAAGUUUUACUUCUUCCUUUCCAAUUAGAUACUUUUUCUUUUCUUGACUCAUUGCCCUAGCUAGAACUUCUAGUAC
rnacentral:lncRNA from 1 species